UACAGAGGUCCCGAGCGUUGUUCUGAUUCAUUGGGCGUAAAGGGUGCGUAGGCGGUCUUCUAAGUUUGAUGUGAAAUCCCGGGGCUCAACCCUGGAAUUGCAUUGAAUACUGGAGGACUAGAGUACCGGAGAGGAAACUGGAAUUUACGGUGUAGCAGUGAAAUGCGUAGAGAUCGUAAGGAAGACCAGUGGCGAAGGCGAGUUUCUGGACGGUAACUGACGCUGAGGCACGAAGGCCAGGGGAGCAAACGGG
rnacentral:rRNA from 1 species